rnacentral:rRNA from 1 species
CAGCACCUCAAGUGGUCAGGAUGAUUAUUGGGCCUAAAGCAUCCGUAGCCGGCUCUGUAAGUUUUCGGUUAAAUCUGUACGCUCAACGUACAGGCUGCCGGGAAUACUGCAGAGCUAGGGAGUGGGAGAGGUAGACGGUACUCGGUAGGAAGGGGUAAAAUCCUUUGAUCUAUUGAUGACCACCUGUGGCGAAGGCGGUCUACCAGAACACGUCCGACGGUGAGGGAUGAAAGCUGGGGGAGCAAACCGGAUUAGAUACCCCCGUAGUCC